GAUGAAGAACUUAGCGAAAUGCGAUAAGUAAUGCGAAUUGCAGAAUUCAGUGAAUCAUCGAAUCUUUGAACGCACAUUGCGCCCGCCAGUACUCUGGCGGGCAUGCCUGUCUGAGCGUCAUUUCAACCCUCGCGCCCGGCUUCUGUCGGGGGCGGUGUUGGGGAUCGGCCUCCCGUCUUCCGGGCGGCCGGCCCCUAAAUGGAGUGGCGACCGCGCCGUAGCCUCCUCUGCGUAGUAGUGAAACACUCGCGGGCGGAGAGCGGUGCGGCCCGCCGUAAAACCCCCAACUCUUCUAAGGUUGACCUCAGAUCAGGUAGGAAUACCCGCUGAACUUAAGCAUAUCAAUAAGCGGAGGA
rnacentral:misc_RNA from 1 species